UGAGGAAUUAACAUCGGCUAACUCCGUGCCAGCAGCCGCGGUAAUACGGAGGAUCCAAGCGUUAUCCGGAAUCAUUGGGUUUAAAGGGUCCGCAGGCUGUUGUUUAAGUCAGAGGUGAAAGUUUGCAGCUCAACUGUAAAAUUGCCUUUGAUACUGGAUGACUUGAGUUAUAAUGAAGUGGUUAGAAUAUGUAGUGUAGCGGUGAAAUGCAUAGAUAUUACAUAGAAUACCGAUUGCGAAGGCAGAUCACUAAUUAUAUACUGACGCUGAGGGACGAAAGCGUGGGGAGCGAACAGGAUUAGAUACCCUGGUAGUCCACGCCGUAAACGAUGGUUACUAGCUGUUUGGACUUCGGUCUGAGUGGCUAAGCGAAAGUGAUAAGUAACCCACCUGGGGAGUACGGUCGCAAGG
rnacentral:rRNA from 1 species